CGUACACUCCUGCGGGAGGCAGCAGUGGGGAAUUUUAGACAAUGGGCGAAAGCCUGAUCCAGCCAUGCCGCGUGCAGGAUGAAGGCCUUCGGGUUGUAAACUGCUUUUGUACGGAACGAAACGGCCUUUUCUAAUAAAGAGGGCUAAUGACGGUACCGUAAGAAUAAGCACCGGCUAACUACGUGCCAGCAGCCGCGGUAAUACGUAGGGUGCAAGCGCUAAUCGGAAUUACUGGGCGUAAAGCGUGCGCAGGCGGUUAUGUAAGACAGUUGUGAAAUCCCCGGGCUCAACCUGGGAACUGCAUCUGUAACUGCAUAGCUAGAGUACGGUAGAGGGGGAUGGAAUUCCGCGUGUAGCAGUGAAAUGCGUAGAUAUGCGGAGGAACACCGAUGGCGAAGGCAAUCCCCUGGACCUGUACUGACGCUCAUGCACGAAAGCGUGGGGAGCAAACAGGAUUAGAAACCCUGGUAGUCCCA
rnacentral:rRNA from 1 species